UACCCGCAGCACAAGUGGUGGUCAUUAUUAUUGGGCCUAAAGCGUCCGUAGCUGGCUUGUUAGAUGCCUGGGUAAAUCGAUGCGCUCAACGCAUCGAACUCCGGGUAGACCGGCAAGCUUGGGACCGGGAGAGGCGUGAGCUACUCGAGGGGUAGGGGUAAAAUCCUGUAAUCCUUCGGGGAGGACCAGUGGCGAAGGCGUCACGCUAGAACGGCUCCGACAGUGAGGGACGAAGCUCUGGGGCGCAAACCGG
rnacentral:rRNA from 1 species